UAUCCCCUUCCCUCUCUGCUUUCCUAGCAAACCAAUCGUCAUACUCCUUUUGUGCCUUUCUGAGCAAGUCUGGGGUAUGUUGGGUCGUGUAAGAAGGACGAGAUGCUUCUCCAGAUAGCUCGGGAUUGGCAGUGACUGGAGAAAACAGUGGGUUUGGAACGCUGACGUCGGGCUGAUUACGCAUCAUAGAUUCCGAGGCACGUGAAGGAUGAAGCCGAGGACGGACACCUAUAUGAACAGACGUAACGCCAGCUGUUACAGCUCGGAUUGGAGUACGGGGCAUACUAGGGGGGAAGGCUGCUGCUGUCAGAUUAAAGAUAGAUUAUUAAUAACGUCGACAAGUCCUCACCAACUUCUCUUCCUGGCUCUCGUCGGCGCCUAUCCUCUUCCUCUCUGGCAUUGGACUUUUCCUGUCCAAAACUUUCCCACUCACCAUCAUUGUGUCUUUGCUCAAUAAUUUCUCUGCCAGCCUCAGGCUUUCGGGCCGAAGGACCAAAAUUAAGUUUUUGAGCAUCUUUGACCAGCUCGGCUUCCCAUUCGUCAGCUAGAGUGGUCUCCGUGUCAGCCGGUGAUGGCACAGCUUUCCUAGUGACAAGAUUCGUCCGUGUCGUGGCUUGGAUGCUUUUCCUUUGGGCUGGAUGCUGACCAACUUGCGGUGCAGAUGCAGAUUUAACUGCAGGAGGCCGGCUAGAUGGUGAUUUGGCCGGUCUAGGUGGUUUGGGAGUCUGACCAAAAGCUACAUUCUCCUUCACAUUAACUUGUGAAACCCGCUGACGAGGCAUACGAGCCAACUCUGCAGAAUGUUGUUGGGCUACUAUGCGUGCGGCGGAAUUGGUGGUAACUUCCUGUCUGAGAGAGGAUUUCGAAGCUGAAGCUCGAAUGGCUGGGUGUCGACUCGGACUUGGCGGUGUAGAAGGACUCGGGGAAGGACCUUUGGAUCUGCCACGAAUAGGCGAGUCUGUGAGGCCUAAGGCGGACAUGGACAGACUCGACAAGGUGGAGGGGUAGGUGAUGGACGAGGAGAUGGACAGGAGGCUGUCUCUAUUAGCCAUUGAAGGUGCACUGAGGGUUGUAAGCGAGAAAAAAGACAAAGAAGAGGGAAAAAGUAGAUGUUUGGAGGACUUACCAUACAUCCUUUAGGACGGUGAAUCUGCGUGCAGUAGAAUAUAAACCAACAUGGCGCUCGCAAAAACAUGAACCGACGAGGAAUUCAUUCAACAGCAGCAUGCACUGAAAUGAUAUUAUCCAUUUUUAUCAGUUGCAUGGUUGUUGCACGCACAAUUGGUC
rnacentral:sRNA from 1 species